rnacentral:rRNA from 1 species
GUGAGGAAUUUUCCGCAAUGGGCGAAAGCCUGACGGAGCAAUGCCGCGUGAAGGAUGAAGGCCUAUGGGUUGUAAACUUCUUUUCUCAGAAAAGAAUUAUGACGGUAUCUGAGGAAUAAGCAUCGGCUAACUCUGUGCCAGCAGCCGCGGUAAGACAGAGGAUGCAAGCGUUAUCCGGAAUGAUUGGGCGUAAAGCGUCUGUAGGUUGUUUAAAAAGUAUUCUGUCAAAGAUUAGGGCUUAACCCUAGAUAGGCAGAAUAAACUUUUAAGCUAGAGUGUGGUAGAGGCAGAGGGAAUUCCCGGUGGAGCGGUGAAAUGCGUAGAUAUCGGGAGGAACACCAAAGGCGAAGGCACUCUGCUGGGCCAAUACUAACACUGAGAGACGAAAGCGAGGGGAGCAAAUGGGAUUAGAAACCCGAGUAGUCC